rnacentral:rRNA from 1 species
UACGAAGGGGGCUAGCGUUGUUCGGAAUUACUGGGCGUAAAGGGCGCGUAGGCGGCCUGUUAAGUCGAACGUGAAAUCCCCGGGCUCAACCCGGGAACUGCGUCCGAUACUGGCAGGCUUGAAUUCGGGGAGAGGGAUGCGGAAUUCCAGGUGUAGCGGUGAAAUGCGUAGAUAAUCUGGAGGAACACCGGUGGCGAAGGCGGCAUCCUGGACCGAGAUUGACGCUGAGGCGCGAAAGCCAGGGGAGCAAACGGGAUU